UAAUACGGAGGAUGCGAGCGUUAUCCGGAUUUAUUGGGUUUAAAGGGUGCGUAGGCUGUUAUAUAAGUCAGUGGUGAAAUAUUCGGGCUCAACCGGGAUACUGCCAUUGAUACUGUAUAGCUGGAAUAUGGUUGCUGUGGGUGGAAUGUGUGGUGUAGCGGUGAAAUGCAUAGAUAUCACACAGAAUAUCGAUUGCGAAGGCAACUCACAAAGCCAUUAUUGACGCUGAUGCACGAAAGUGUGGGGAUCAAACAGGAUUAGAUACCCUGGUAGUCCACACUGUAAACGAUGAUAACUAGCUGUCGGCGAUAGAUAGUCGGUGGCUAAGCGAAAGCGAUAAGUUAUCCACCUGGGGAGUACGACCGCAAGGUUGAAACUCAAAGGAAUUGACGGGGGCCCGCACAAGCGGAGGAACAUGUGGUUUAAUUCGAUGAUACGCGAGGAACCUUACCCGGGCUCGAACGGUGCAGGAAUAUGGUAGAGAUAUCAUAGCUAGCAAUAGUCUGUAUCGAGGUGCUGCAUGGUUGUCGUCAGCUCGUGCCGUGAGGUGUCGGCUUAAGUGCCAUAACGAGCGCAACCCUUGUCGUUAGUUACCAUCAAGUAAAGUUGGGGACCCUAGCGAGACUGCCACCGUAAGGUGUGAGGAAGGGGGGGAUGACGUCAAAUCAGCACGGCCCUUACGUCCGGGGCGACACACGUGUUACAAUGGUAGGUACAGAGGGGCGCUAUCCAGUGAUGGAGUGCGAAUCUCAAAAACCUAUCUCAGUUCGGAUUGGAGUCUGCAACUCGACUCCAUGAAGUUGGAUUCGCUAGUAAUCGCGCAUCAGCCAUGGCGCGGUGAAUACGUUCCCGGGCCUUGUACACACCGCCCGUCAAGCCAUGGAAGCCNGGGGUGCCUGA
rnacentral:rRNA from 1 species